rnacentral:tRNA from 1 species
GGCCGGUUAGCUUAAUGGUUAAAGGACCGUUCUGACUAAGCGGAGGAUCCGGGUUCGAGUCCCGGGCCGGCCA